rnacentral:rRNA from 1 species
UGGGGAAUAUUGGACAAUGGGCGCAAGCCUGAUCCAGCAAUGCCGCGUGUGUGAAGAAGGCCUUCGGGUUGUAAAGCACUUUUAUCAGGAGCGAAACGCUGUCGGCUAAUACCCGGCGGAACUGACGGUACCUGAGGAAUAAGCACCGGCUAACUUCGUGCCAGCAGCCGCGGUAAUACGAAGGGUGCAAGCGUUAAUCGGAAUUACUGGGCGUAAAGCGUGCGUAGGCGGUUUCUUAAGUCUGCUGUGAAAUCCCCGGGCUCAACCUGGGAAUGGCAGUGGAUACUGGGAGGGCUAGAGUGUGUCAGAGGGUGGUGGAAUUCCCGGUGUAGCGGUGAAAUGCGUAGAGAUCCGGGAGGAACAUCAGUGGCGAAGGCGGCCACCUGGGACAACACUGGACGCUGAGGCACGAAAGCGUGGGGGAGCAAACAGGAUUAGAUACCCUGGUAGUCCACGCCCUAAACGAUGCGAACUGGAUGUUGGUCUCAACUCGGAGAUCAGGUGUCGAAGCUAACGCGUUAAGUUCGCCGCCUGGGGAGUACGGUCGCAAGACUGGAAACUCAAAUGAAUUGACGGGGGUCAUAGCUG